rnacentral:rRNA from 1 species
GCAGUGGAGGGAAUAUUGGUCAAUAGCCUAACGGCUGAACCAGCAACUUGGAGGAAUGUAUAUCGACUAUGUCGGAUAAAAUUCUAGAUAGAAGAAUGAUUAUGACAAUUUUCUAUCUAUAAGUCUUGACCAAAUCUCGUGCCAGCAGUCGCGGCAAUACGAGGAAGACAAGUGUUAUUCAUCUUUAUUAGGUUUAAAGGGUACCUAGACGGUAUAUCUAGCCCCAAAAGGGUACGGAUUUUACUAGAGUUUUAUGCGAGAGGUAUAUAUUAGUACUAUUGGUGUAGAGAUGAAAUUCUUUGAUACUAUUAGGAACUGGUAGAGGCGAAAGCAACCCUCUAUGUAUAAACUGACGUUGAGGGACGAAGGCUUGGGUAGCGAAUAGGAUUAGAUACCCUAGUAGUCCAGGCAGAAAAUUAUGAAUGCCAUAGACUAGAUUUUAUACAUAAAUUUUGAACUCUAUGUUGGGUUUUGUAUUGUAUUGUAUUUUGGUCUAUAAAUGAAAGUGUAAGCAUUCCACCUCAAGAGUAAUGUGGCAACGCAGGAACUGAAAUCAUUAGACCGUUUCUGAAACCAGUAGUGAAGUAUGUUAUUUAAUUCGAUAACCCUCGAAAAACCUUACCACAAUUUGAAUAUUAAUUAUUAUUAAUACAAGCGUUGCACGGCUGUCUUCAGUUAAUGUCGUGAGAUUUUGGUUAGAUCCAUUAAAUUAACGUAAACCCUUUCUUUAUUUAUAUUAAAUAAAGUAGUUCACCGCUAUAUUGGAUUUGAUAAGAGGGACUAAGACAAGUCAUCAUGGCCUUAAUAUUGUGGGCUAUAGACGUGGCCACA